rnacentral:rRNA from 1 species
GACAGAGGGGGCAAACGUUGUUCGGAUUUACUGGGCGUAAAGCGCGUGUAGGCGGCUUGGCAAGUUGAAUGUGAAAGCCCACGGCUCAACCGUGGAAGCGCAUCCAAAACUGCUUCGCUUGAGUCUCGGAGAGGAAGGUGGAAUGCUUGGUGUAGAGGUGAAAUUCGUAGAUAUCAAGCAGAACACCUGCGGCGAAGGCGGCCUUCUGGACGAUGACUGACGCUGAGACGCGAAAGCGUGGGGAGCAAACAGG